GCACUGCUGACGAGUCCCACAAUAGGACGAAACGGCCGUCCAGUGC
rfam:Schistosoma haematobium scaffold1305_9, whole genome shotgun sequence.